rnacentral:rRNA from 1 species
GACGAACGCUGGCGGCGUGCUUAACACAUGCAAGUCGAACGGAAAGGCCCUGCUUUUGUGGGGUGCUCGAGUGGCGAACGGGUGAGUAACACGUGAGUAACCUGCCCUUGACUUUGGGAUAACUUCAGGAAACUGGGGCUAAUACCGGAUAGGAGCUCCUGCUGCAUGGUGGGGGUUGGAAAGUUUCGGCGGUUGGGGAUGGACUCGCGGCUUAUCAGCUUGUUGGUGGGGUAGUGGCUUACCAAGGCUUUGACGGGUAGCCGGCCUGAGAGGGUGACCGGCCACAUUGGGACUGGGAUACGGCCCAGACUCCUACGGGAGGCAGCAGUGGGGAAUAUUGCACAAUGGGCGGAAGCCUGAUGCAGCAACGCCGCGUGCGGGAUGACGGCCUUCGGGUUGUAAACCGCUUUCGCCUGUGAUGAAGCGUGAGUGACGGUAAUGGGUAAAGAAGCACCGGCUAACUACGUG